AUGAACGCUGGCGGCGUGCCUAAUACAUGCAAGUCGAGCGAACGGACGAGAAGCUUGCUUCUCUGAUGUUAGCGGCGGACGGGUGAGUAACACGUGGAUAACCUACCUAUAAGACUGGGAUAACUUCGGGAAACCGGAGCUAAUACCGGAUAAUAUUUUGAACCGCAUGGUUCAGAAGUGAAAGACGGUCUUGCUGUCACUUAUAGAUGGAUCCGCGCUGCAUUAGCUAGUUGGUAAGGUAACGGCUUACCAAGGCAACGAUGCAUAGCCGACCUGAGAGGGUGAUCGGCCACACUGGAACUGAGACACGGUCCAGACUCCUACGGGAGGCAGCAGUAGGGAAUCUUCCGCAAUGGGCGAAAGCCUGACGGAGCAACGCCGCGUGAGUGAUGAAGGUCUUCGGAUCGUAAAACUCUGUUAUUAGGGAAGAACAUAUGUGUAAGUAACUGUGCACAUCUUGACGGUACCUAAUCAGAAAGCCACGGCUAACUACGUG
rnacentral:rRNA from 1 species